UACAGAGGGGGCAAGCGUUGUUCGGAAUUACUGGGCGUAAAGAGCGCGCAGGCGGUCGUUCAAGUCGCGUGUGAAAGCCCCCGGCUCAACUGGGGAGGGUCACGCGAUACUGAUCGACUCGAAGGCAGGAGAGGGUAGUGGAAUUCCCGGUGUAGUGGUGAAAUGCGUAGAUAUCGGGAGGAACACCAGUGGCGAAGGCGGCUUCCUGGACACCAACUGACGCUGAGACGCGAAAGCGUGGGGAGCAAACAGG
rnacentral:rRNA from 1 species